UACGUAGGCGGAAUAUUAAGUCAGUGGUGAAAUCCUGCGGCUCAACCGUAGAACUGCCAUUGAUACUGAUAUUCUUGAAUGUAGUUGAGGUAGGCGGAAUGUGUAAUGUAGCGGUGAAAUGCUUAGAUAUUACACAGAACACCGAUUGCGAAGGCAGCUUACUAAGCUAUGAUUGACGCUGAGGUACGAAAGCGUGGGGAGCGAACAGGAUUAGAUACCCUGGUAGUCC
rnacentral:rRNA from 1 species